GGAUGUGAGGGCCAUCUGGCUGUGACAUCUGCCACUUCAUUGAUCAAGAACCUUGAGUCCACAGAUCAGAGUUGGUUAGGCAAGGGUCGCCUUCCUCCCUCAAUGCUCUAUAUGUGUCCCUCCCUCCCAGAGCUAUAGUAGGUGGAAAAGGAUGACCACCUCCAAUCGUGGAGGCCCAUUCCUCUGUGAAGUGUAUAAAAGUAACUGCGCUCCCCUGCUAGAACCUUUGAGCAAGCUCUCAAGGAACAGAAGACAGAUUCAGACAGACAAGGACUGAGUAAGAAAUAAGAAAAGAGGGGCUAGGGAUUU
rnacentral:snRNA from 1 species